AACGCACCUUGCGCCCUUUGGUAUUCCGAAGGGCAUGCCUGUUUGAGUGUCAUUAAAUUCUCAACCUCCCCUUCUUUCAUUAGGAGUGCGGUGGAUUGGAUAUGGGGGUUUGCUGGUUUCUAACGAGAUCAGCUCCUCUGAAAUGCAUUAGCAGAAACCGUUUGACUUUGGCUGCUAGGCUGUGAUAAUAUCUACGCCUUGGACUAUUUGCCGUUUUUAGCACUGCUUAUAAUCGUCUGUUCAUUCGGACAAUAUAUGACAAUUUGACCUCAAAUCAGGUAGGACUACCCGCUGAACUUAA
rnacentral:rRNA from 1 species